UAGGGAAUCUUCGGCAAUGGACGAAAGUCUGACCGAGCAACGCCGCGUGAGUGAAGAAGGUUUUCGGAUCGUAAAGCUCUGUUGUAAGAGAAGAACGGGUGUGAGAGUGGAAAGUUCACACUGUGACGGUAUCUUACCAGAAAGGGACGGCUAACUACGUGCCAGCAGCCGCGGUAAUACGUAGGUCCCGAGCGUUGUCCGGAUUUAUUGGGCGUAAAGCGAGCGCAGGCGGUUAGAUAAGUCUGAAGUUAAAGGCUGUGGCUUAACCAUAGUACGCUUUGGAAACUGUUUAACUUGAGUGCAGAAGGGGAGAGUGGAAUUCCAUGUGUAGCGGUGAAAUGCGUAGAUAUAUGGAGGAACACCGGUGGCGAAAGCGGCUCUCUGGUCUGUAACUGACGCUGAGGCUCGAAAGCGUGGGGAGCGAACAGGAUUAGAUACCCUGGUAGUCCACGCCGUAACGAUGAGUGCUAGGUGUUAGGCCCUUUCCGGGGCUUAGUGCCGCAGCUAACGCAUUAAGCACUCCGCCUGGGGAGUACGACCGCAAGGUG
rnacentral:rRNA from 1 species